UGGGGAAUAUUGCGCAAUGGGCGAAAGCCUGACGCAGCGACGCCGCGUGAGGGAUGAAGGCCUUCGGGUUGUAAACCUCUUUCAGCAGGGAAGAAGCGCAAGUGACGGUACCUGCAGAAGAAGCACCGGCCAACUCCGUGCCAGCAGCCGCGGUAAGACGGAGGGCGCGAGCGUUGUCCGGAUUUAUUGGGCGUAAAGAGCUCGUAGGCGGCUUGUCGCGUCGUCCGUGAAAACCCGUGGCUCAACUGCGGGCUUGCGGUCGAUACGGGCAGGCUGGAGUUCGGUAGGGGAGACCGGAAUUCCUGGUGUAGCGGUGAAAUGCGCAGAUAUCAGGAGGAACACCGGUGGCGAAGGCGGGUCUCUGGGCCGAUACUUGACGCUGAGGAGCGAAAGCGUGGGGAGCGAACA
rnacentral:rRNA from 1 species